AUGCAGUUCUCCCUGUUCUCGCUGUUCUUGGUGACAUUUGUUGGCUAUCUUAACCAUGGAUUUUCCGUUACACAGCGGAAGCCCUCACUCAUGCAAACGGAGGGAGAAAAUGUCAAUUUAAACUGCACGUACAACGUUUAUAUGUAUGACUUAUUCUGGUACCGCCAGUACCCUGGCAGAAAGCCCGAAUUCGCAGUCCGGACUUCCGAGAGUAGUGGUGCUGAAUUUAAGGCGGAUUUUGCACAGAAGCGAUUUUCUAGUACAGUACAGCAGUCGUACAAGUCGUAUCGAUUGACGAUCUCGAAGCUGCUGCUGUCUGACACCGCUCUCUAUUACUGUGCUGCGAGCCUCACAGUAAUGGGAACGAGCUACAGACUCGUACAAGCAGGGAAAACUACUUCACAAUUCAGAAAUUCCUGUUCACAUUCACUAUAUCCUAACCGCAUGGAUGCGGACUAUGUCAGAAUCAGUGUGAAUAUUUGUGUUCAAGCAUUCUUGUACACUCAGUACUACGUUGAGUAUGCUGCUCGUGACGGCUCAGUCUGGCUAACAGUAGCCUUCGCUAUUGACCGUUUUGUGGCCAUCAGCUGUCAACGGUUGAACACCACGUAUGGCACCAAGUAA